rnacentral:rRNA from 1 species
UUUAACGCGAAGGACCUUACCUACUCUUGACAUCCAGAGAACUUAGCAGAGAUGCUUUGGUGCCUUCGGGAACUCUGAGACAGGUGCUGCAUGGCUGUCGUCAGCUCGUGUUGUGAAAUGUUGGGUUAAGUCCCGCAACGAGCGCAACCCUUAUCCUUUGUUGCCAGCGGUUAGGCCGGGAACUCAAAGGAGACUGCCAGUGAUAAACUGGAGGAAGGUGGGGAUGACGUCAAGUCAUCAUGGCCCUUACGAGUAGGGCUACACACGUGCUACAAUGGCGCAUACAAAGAGAAGCGACCUCGCGAGAGCAAGCGGACCUCAUAAAGUGCGUCGUAGUCCGGAUUGGAGUCUGCAACUCGACUCCAUGAAGUCGGAAUCGCGUAGUAAUCGUAGAUCAGAAUGCUACGGGAAUACGCCGA